CUCAUUAGCUUACGGUGUUCAUUAUUAUUAUUAGCACUCAUUAGCAAAGUGAACGGACUCUUAGCCACCGCGUGGCUAACUCGGCUUGCUCCGAAGGCUUUAGCUCGUCGUUGUCGACGUGGAAACCUCGAGGGAUUGCGAGACUGCCCAGUUAACGCUGAGAGCUUCCUCUGCUUCGCGGGAGAGACCACACGCCAUCCCUGGACAUCGGUCCGCCACCUUGAUCUUCGUCACGGGAGACCUGAGGGACUGGUGACGUCAUCAGCUGCCGAGGCCACGCGCCGUCUCCGGACACCUGCCUGCGUCUCGUUCUUCAUCCGGGGGACCAAGUGGUGUGGACUACCUCACCCUCUUCAUCUCAAUCUGUCCCCAAACACAACGUUCUGUCUUGUGUUGCUGUGGGCUUUAAGGGAAAGAAGCAAUGCUAAUAUUCUCAUGGGGAUGCAGGGAACAUGCAUCUAGCCAAGAUGCCCACCAUGACACCAUCUUCCUGACCAACAGUGGAGGCAGGCCUGGUGACAGCGUGCUGCCAUAACAACAGGGGGAUGUCAAGCUCACAGCAAAAUUUGGUACCACUGUCAGUGAAAAUUAAGGUUCUUUCACUGGCUCACAUAUCUGCGCUGUAGACCCUCGCUGCUGCUGCUGCUGCUAAGUUGCUUGUAGCCUUCCAGUUAAAUUUACACAUGAAAUAAAGCACUAAUUUGACUCCAUUGUAAAAGUCUGUCAUUGCGACUAAAUGAAAGACAUUGUGGCCGUGUCUCUGCCUCUCCCUCCUCUCACCGCAG
rnacentral:lncRNA from 1 species